UAGGGAAUCUUCCGCAAUGGACGCAAGUCUGACGGAGCAACGCCGCGUGAGUGAAGAAGGUUUUCGGAUCGUAAAACUCUGUUGUUAGAGAAGAACAAGUGCUAGAGUAACUGUUAGCGCCUUGACGGUAUCUAACCAGAAAGCCACGGCUAACUACGUGCCAGCAGCCGCGGUAAUACGUAGGUGGCAAGCGUUGUCCGGAUUUAUUGGACGUAAAGCGAGCGCAGGCGGUUCCUUAAGUCUGAUGUGAAAGCCCCCGGCUCAACCGGGGAGGGUCAUUGGAAACUGGGGAACUUGAGUGCAGAAGAGGAGAGUGGAAUUCCAUGUGUAGCGGUGAAAUGCGUAGAUAUAUGGAGGAACACCAGUGGCGAAGGCGACUCUCUGGUCUGUAACUGACGCUGAGGCUCGAAAGCGUGGGUAGCAAACAGGAUUAGAUACCCUGGUAGUCCACGCCGUAAACGAUGAGUGCUAAGUGUUGGAGGGUUUCCGCCCUUCAGUGCUGCAGUUAACGCAUUAAGCACUCCGCCUGGGGAGUACGACCGCAAGGUUG
rnacentral:rRNA from 1 species